UUACAUAUUUCAAAUAUAUGAAUAUUUUCGAGGAUAUAGGUUUGUACAUAUUUAGCAAAAUAAAAUUACUUGCAACGUAUGUAGAUUAGCUUGUACUGUACAAUUGUGUAACGGUAUGCUUCAGCAAUAUUACGCCUACACUACCUUAAAAGUUAAUUAUGUCUAUCGUGCAAAAAGAAAUUUUAAUUGUCGAAGAAAUUUACCUGGAAAUCGGACGUGUUGCUUGCUUCCAUUACAUUUUUAAAGCGUAACUACGCUUUUUACUGGUUUGCAAAAGGAAAAUGAAAGACUUAAACAGGAAGUGUGUAAAGCUUAACACGUCGAAAUAAAUUUAAAAGUUAUUUGUAAUCAAAAUACCGUAACUGUGUCAAUAAAUCUUGGGAUAUUUCAAGACGCUCGCUUAUGACCUCAAAAAGAAAAGUAUAAAAUCUUUCUAGAAGAGUAUACCAAGCACUCCCUGACCAGAGCACGCUAUGGAAAAGCUGUGUGCGGGCUGCAUACGAAGCAACUUUCAAAAAAUAUGCAAGGAAUAGUAGGAAAAUAACCCAGUCUUUUUAUUGUGGAAGAAAAAAUACAAUGGAUGUACUAAAAAGGUAUGUGCUGAACAUUCUCUUCGGUCCGUUAACAGCCAGUAAAAUCCAUGCUAUUAAGAGUUUAUGAAUUAGAAAAGACAAAUACCAUAACUGUCUUGAAAAAAAUCUAUUAAAACAAGAAGACGUGUUAAAGGAAUUUAUACAGUUCAGUUUUUAAUCUUGAAGAAAGCGGUCUGUCUACUGAGAAGCAGUGGAAGAUUUUCAAACAGGCCAAAAAUCAGUUGGACGGAUUUGUUUUAGAGAAAACAUGAUUAAUUCCUGAGCAAAAAUCCAAAUAUUCAAAAUAUAUAGUAAUUGCUGAGUUUCUCACUCACAAAAGUUAGAAUUUUUAGUGAAUUUUUAGUUAGAAUUCUGCUCUCGCAUCUAUACUGCUGACAAUGGAGAACGAAGAACGACUGUGUUUCUGCCAGCACAAUACGUUUCUGUUUAUAAACUACGGAAUAGAUUCGAAUUUUCUAUCAUUUUCUCAAGUCUUAUAUGUUAUAUGUAUACUUUUAUGCAUAAUAAAAUGAUUUUAUUUUUAUACAUUU